rnacentral:tmRNA from 1 species
GGGGGCGAAACGGAUUCGACGGGGACGUGUAAGCUCGUCGUUGCAUGCCGAGUUUCUAUUGGCUCGUAAAACCGGUAGAACCUAAAUAUAAUCGCAGACGAUUAUAACUACGCAGUAGCAGCUUAACACCUGUCAUACUGCCGUCUCACCGAUCUUCGCCCGUAAGAUCGGAUUCGGGGCGUCGACUCAACGGGCUGGUUUCCUGCAAGCCGUCUGUCUUUCAGGAAACGAGAAUUAACAGUCUAGCCUUUUGAAAUCUAUGUUCCGACUGAGUUCACAAGGCGAAAAUUAAAGUGCGGAACUAAGCAUGUAGAUACGAGAGGGGAGCGUUUUCGGACGCGGGUUCGACUCCCGCCGCCUCCACCA